UUAAUCAAGUUGCUCGUACCAAAAAAGGAGAGGACAACGUAAGAGGGAUAAACGGGAUAGUAGAGAGACGAUCGUGGAAGAGAAAUGGACGUUGCCGACAGUGUGGAUAGAAGUGAAGACGUGAACGGAACGAUGACAAAGGGAUGAAAGGAUAAGGAGCGAGAUUGCGCGCGCGCGAGAGACAGACAGAGAGAGAAAGGGAGAGGGAAGGGAAUGCGAGAGAUAAGACGAGGAGGUUCGAGUGGAAGAAGGAGCAGGUGGGGACAUGGAACGGAGCGAAAGGAAGGAAAAGGAAAGGAAAGGGAAGAACCGGACACACGAACGAGUCGGAUGAAGAUUUAUAGGGACGCGCGAUCUUCUAAUAAUCACGUGGUGGAAUGUCGAAGAAAACGGAGAAGAGGCAAAGGAAUUGGAUCGGAUCGGAGGAAAACUGGAUCACAUGCUAAUCAGAACCGCGUUAACCUCUAUUACAUUUAAUCGAAUGUAAUUGUACUAAAGCCUAUAAUGCUAGAGAUAAUUUGGCAGAGAAAGAACGACAGAGAGAGAGAGAGAGAGAGAGAAUGUGUAUGUGUGCGUGUGUGUGGAAAAGAGAGCGAGAAUGAGCGAGAAAGGAGAGGAACAAAUAUACGUACUUUAAAACGCGAGUGUCAUGAAAGUUGCGAGUCGGUCCUUGUAAUUGUAUAGUAGAGUAUGAAUGAGCGCCUGUGAAAACGUCUAAAGUGAUAUAUAUAUAUAUAUAUAUAUGCGUGUGUAUAUAUAUGUGUAUAUAUAUAUACAUAUAAAUAUAUAUAAUAUAUAUAAAAAAAAAAAGCAAAGAGAGCGAAAACGCGUGGUAUGGAAAUUUUAGCGAGCGAAUGAGAAUGACGAGCGAGCGAGCGAGCGAGCGAGCGAGCGAGCGAUGGUUUCAUGGAUUAAACGUUGUAUUCGCGUGGAAAAGAAAUUAUCCGUUAGGAAAACGUUUUAUUAUUUAUUCUCUUACACGUCGUACACGCGUAGAGUUCGUAGCGCGAUUAGGUGGUAAAAUGAAAGAAAACUAGCGGAAAAAGUGGACGGUCGUCCAGUCGUGUCUCUAUUUAGCGAGUAGAUGAACGGUUUAGUGUUCUUUAGAAGAUCGUUUAGAUAGGUUUUUCUCUAUAAUACCGCGGUGGCUCAGCGAGGGUUAUUUAGUAAUCGCGAACGUGCCAAGUGUGAUCUUCGAAUGUGUGUUUCUCCAGUGCCGGCAGGAUUCGAUAUGGAAAUGCGGAGAUGAAGAGAGCACGGAAUGCGGAGGAAGUUCCGGUAGAACGGCUGCACACUUAACGUUAUCUCUGGUUAGAGAACGAGGUUGCGAAUGGAUCGAACAGAGAGGAUGGAGCGAAGGGGUUGAACAUCGAUGCGAUAUUCGAUUACGUUGUCGUGAAGCCAGUGAAAUACCAGUGUGUGCUUGUAACGCAAUCCGUUAAAUUCCAGUGAUAUUACGGUGGUGAUCGAUCGAUUUGCCAGUAGUCUUGGCGAAUCGCGAAUACGUCGAACGAAACGGGGGAUCCUUUUCUGCGGAAAGUGUGCUGAUCGAAUGAAUGAAAACAGUGCUGUUAGGAGUGCGGUGGCCUCCGCCGGAGCAGACAGAAUCGAAUCGACUUGACAUUUCUUCAUCAGUGUCGUCGUAAGGUCAGUUAAAACAUUCUAUGCUUACUUGCACUUUCGUGUAUGUAUGUUUUUGUCUCAUCGUUGUUCCAAUCUUCUCCUCUUUAAGUAUUCCGUCAUUUUCUUCCAACCGUUUAUUUACAAUUAUUAUCUCGAGUUUAUUCUUUCGAUCGUAUACUGCUUGAAGAACAUGUCAAAAUGAACCAUCUUUGUUUAUUCUCGUCGGGCGCGUAGCUAAAAGAUUACGGGUAAUAUAUCGCUGUGUAUUAUAAUUAUAGAUUUUUUUUUUCGCAAGCAAAAAUACCGCGGCUACUUGAGUAAAAAGGUGUUUCCCAACAGUCCGGACCGAUUGUGUCAACAGACAAAUUAGCUUUCUUGUUAUAAAUAUACUUUUUGCUACUUUUCUUAUGUCCAAGAUACAAACUGCAUUUCGAUUUAGAGGAGAGAUUUAUAAUGUUUACUGUUCGAAUAUAUUACGGUAUACUUAAGAAAAUCGCGCAUUUUGUUGCAAACACCUUUCGUCAACGUAGAUGACGCGUCCAAGUAUUUAAAAAAAAAAAAAAACGUUUUGCGUAUUUACGCAACAGUAUUUGCGUUCGCCUUGUAAAUAUUCGAAGCAACGGUGAAAAAAUCUAACUCUUAUCAGAUAGAUCCUUGAUAGAACCAAAAUUCGAGGGAUCUUCAGGGGCGAGUGACCAUUAAAAAUUUAAUACUGCUCCGCGAGAUACGAGGCCAAGUUACCAAGUGAUGUAAUUCGUAACAUAUUUUUGGAAUAGGAUGCUUUCGGCAUGAAACCGCUUGGCACCUUAACAGCGAUUCUAGGAAGCAGAGCUGUCGAUCGAAAACGCUAUCCUGAUCCGCUCAUAGUUCAAAGCAUCCAUCUCUCUUUCGAGUAAAAAAGAUAUUCAAAAAGAGUAGAAAUGAAAAUUCAACAGCAUAUUCGUAGUUUCUUCGAAAGGCCGUACUGUUCCAGUUUAUUAUAUGUUCGAUCAAAAUUUUUAUUCGUGCAUAUCUGGAGAAAUUAUUCGCCUGAAACAAAGAUACAAAAUCAAAAUGGCUUCUUCAUUUAUUUGCAAGCAAGUAAAAAGAUUUUCAAAUGAAAUUUAGCAGAUUUUAUCCUUUUAGUAUUGUCAUUAAUGCACGGUCACUAGUCACAUGUUUGAACGCAUGUCCACUGUGGCCCUGGUUUUCUUUCCUUGCAUGUUUGUUGAAAUGUAAAACGAAGUCUAUUCAAAUGUUCGCGCCCAUAGAAACUGCGUUAAGUGUGCCAAGCAGUGGCCAAACGCACCAUCUGUCCGGGCCGGUCGAUAAAAAUGCUUGCGAUCGAUGACGGAUCGAUAACGCCGGAUCGUGACCUGGCCGAUGACAUCAUCGUGUCUAUCUAUCGGGCCGAGGACACGUCGGAGAACUCUGCCGCGGCGAAUUCUUGUGCUGUGUUGUAAAACUUAGAUCGACAUAAUUUAGUUUAUACCUUGUAUACACGCAAUUUAAUGAUAUACGUAAUAAACGAUAAUUAACGAAUACGUAAUAAUGUAUAAACGAUGACGACGAUGAAAUACGGCGGUAUUUAAAUGAAAUGGACAAAAACAGAAAACGAUAAAAAAAGAGAGGGGGAAGGUAAAGAAGAAUAUAAAUGUACAUAGGAGGAAAUAAUCUGGGGAUUUCGCGAAAUCUCGUUUACAUGUAGAUCGCACGGGUUCGAAGAAUGUUCCCGUGGGACGCGAAACGAUGUCCCGCGAACUUUCUUCCGGCCCGUCCUCGCAUUAAUGGGCAAAAAUAAAAAGGAGAAACGAUGAUCAUGAAAAAGAAAAAAAUGGAAAAAAAUCGGAGAUAUAUGAAACUGAUAUACGUAAUACAUGGUCCAGCUCGCGCACGCGCAUCGAUUGGGCACCGGCCGGCCUUUCUUUCUCCAGAGAUUUAUUUAUAUAUAACUUUUUGUCCUUGAGGAGCAACGAACUGUGAAAAACGGAAGAUCGUCGACGAUCGCUCGCUGUCUUUUGCGGACAGUUGUUCUUUUUUCGGGGGGAAGCGUCGAAACCCGUAUGUUUACGGUCAGAGGUCGUGAUUCUAAAUUGCUUGGGCAAAUUGGCGUCAAUUAAGCUCGAUAGCCCGUUGAGGGCCUCCGCGUCGUUGUCGGUAUAUGGGUUUUCGUGAAAGUUUUAACGAAAGAGGAACACCGGCGAUAAAUAACAAAUCUUUGAUUCUUGUUCCGAUCUAUUUACCUCGGAUUAUUGGCAUAUCGUUUUUACCUUUAUGUCAUUUCAUUGUUCGAUUAUGUCCAGGUCAGGUAGUCGUAUAAUUUUGCGGGUUAGGAUAGGAUUAUCUUUGUUUUAACCUUUACAUCGAAAGUUAUUUAUAAAAAGAUACUUAUAUAUACUUUUUGUAUUAUGUUUGUUAUUGCGUUUAACGCAAACUGUCACGCUUCGUUUGUUUAAUCAUUAAAUAUUUCCAAAACAUGUAUUUAUUGCAUAUGUACAUCCAACUGUCAACCAUGAAUAUUUUUGUUUCGCCAUCUUCUCACCAGUAGCUCUGUCUGUCGAUCGACAUCGAUAUCGAUUAGUUGUUCUUUGUCAUUCGAUUCAGUUUUCGACUCGCACGUCACGUUGGUUAGCAAAUUUUUUCCCUUUCUUGUCGAAAAAUAAAGUGUCUCCUUCUGUGUUGUUGAUCACAAUGUUUGCGAUAAAUCGAUUAAUCUUAUACGAUUGGGAUAUUGUUUUUGCGCGUUUCGCGGUAGAUAAGUGAGACAUGUGUUAAUUCUGACUGCAUUAAUCAGUGAUACCAUCUAUGUAGGCCAGGUAAUGGCCGACAUUGAAGCGUAGGGUGCGGCUUUCGAGACAAAGGAGGUAUUUAUUACUCUUGCAUCAUAGUAUCAACUGUUACGACACGGUGGUCAACAGUGCAGGCGAAAUUUCACGCAUAAAUGCCUGCUUGACAAACCGUUUUCGCAGGGGCUUCUCGCCGGGCACUACAUAGGUUAGCUACAUUAAUUCUCGUUGAAUGUUUAGUUGAUUGGCAAAAACACGUUCACAUUGUUGUGUCUCAAUUCAUGGCAGAGCAUAUGUUCAUAGCAGUAGGUCAAAUCAAUCGAUCAGAAAUUUUCUUAUUACCGUUCUUGCUUAUUCAAGGUCCUGUUGGGUGUGUAGGAACAAGAAAAAUUUGUUUGGUCUUUAUUGGUAAAUUUAUCACCGGUAUUUCUCUUGCCAACGAUCAUUCGUGACACGUGGAAAAACAGAAUUGUGCAAUAAUUACGCGUCACCGUUUAACGCACGCGUUACUCAGAGUUCUAUAUUUAUUUAAUCACCCGUCGUUUAGAUAAAAUGCAAUUUUGGACGAAAGGGAUAAACACAAAGAUUUUUCUAAAAAGAAAAAAAAAGAAGAAAAUCAGUGGACGUUAUGAAGUUUGUUACAUGCCGCGAGCGAUCGCCGUGAACGCCAGUUUAGCUUAAAGUGAAAAUUUUGUAUCCAUCGGAUAGCGAACACACACUACUACUUAUAUAGAGUAAAUAUAUAUGUAUAAAUGCGGCAAAAAAAGAGAGCUAAGGCGGAAAAGUGAAUUCCUAGCGUUAACUGGAAUGUGUAAAAUGCAAAUUAUAUAUUUUAUCUUUACUCUUAUAUAGUCGCGUAAAAAUUAAACAGAUAUACGUAAUUUAAAGAAGAGUGAAAAAGAAAGAAAGAGAAGAAAGAUGCGAGAGUACCGUGAUUGUGUGUAGAGGUAAAGCGAAGAGGCAAGAGGAUUAAGUGGGAAGGGAGUGAAGUUAGGAGGAAGAGAAAAAUAACGAUAGCAACAUGUGCGUACGUACGAAGUGAGUCACUAAGCUAGCGCUUAAUCGAUAAGGUUAACGUCUAAAGCCUAAGUCUUAAGAUGAUAAUUAAAUAGAAUUAAGGAAACGGGCAUAUCGGUUGCAGCGGGCGGGGGCGGUGGUCAUGGAAAAAACUAAAGAAACAUCUGGUCGAAAAAGUACUUUCGGUCGCCGUUCUAUGUACCAUGGGCAAUGCGCAAUUAAGUAACUAGCGUGGGGUUUGCGAUCGUGUAUAUAGUCAGUGUCUAUUUGGGGAGCUCGCAGACACCACCUAUCGGAUAAAGGAUUUAAAACGCUUGACAAGAAAUAAGCAGCUUUUGGUAUCCUCCAUAUUAAUGUAGUAGUACCGCGUAAUAUUUAUUGUUACCAUAUUGCGUGUAGCAAAAUGGAUUUUCUUUUGUUUCCAAUAAUCGCCCAAUAAAUAUUUUUUACUACAUAUAUCGUGCGUGAUUCAAUAAAAAUCUAUAGGUACGCUCUAAACAAUCGUUGUUAUUGUUUUAAUAUGAUAUUAACUUGUGAAAUUCGACUUUCAAUGUAUAUACUUACGAUAGUACGAGGGAUACUGUUGGAUAUAUUUAUUACAUAUUUUGAAGCUCAUUCUUCCACUGGCUUACAAUGUUCUUAAGCAGUUCGGUACGAAAAACUAUAUUACAAUUGGCAAAUAAUUAUAAACCACGUCCUCGCACGCCCAUGCGCCGAAGAGUUCCUGACUACCUGUCAGUCUCCAGACAGGUGUCGUUAGUUUCGUAUACCUUUCUAGGUACUGUAUAUCUAUCAAAAUAUGUAAAGAGAAAAAGGAAGGGUAGUCCAUCGCCUCUCUACUUCAGUCAAAGCGAAAUCCAUUACUCCGAGUGCUGUAACUUAAAAACGUUCAUCAUGCUGUACAAUUCAAUUAACCGUCUUUUAUACGAUACAAACGAAAACAUAAAAAAAAAAAAAAAUGGACUGACAGCCAAAACGAAAACACAAUUAAAAAUGGAUUCACUACUUCAUAUCGGUAAAAUAGAGGAAAAUUUGCUACGCUCGAUAAGGACAUACACGCCGUGAUAUCCUUAGACUUCUGUUUAAUUACGUCGCUUUAAUCGGUGUUUUUCUAUUGGUUUUAUUUUUGAAAAUGAUCGUUGUAUAGAAGUUGAGUACUUACGCUUUCGCCCAGCGUCGUAUCGUCUGAAUAAAGAUGUCUGAAUUAGAUGUCGCGUUUAAAAAUCUGGCUCGACGACUCGCUCACUAUACAUUCAUUGCAUUUGUAAAUAUACAGGUAAUUGUAAAGUAACGGGUAUUGAUUUUUCCGGCUGCAAUUUGAAAAGUCGUCGUCAUUGUUUCAGAAAAAUGUUUUUCCAAUUCAACGAAAAGUUUCCUAGAACGCGCGGUCUCAUUCAUAAUAAUUCCGCUGUGUGAAGACUGAUAGACCCGGUAACACGCUACGAAAACGUUGUUUUACACGAUAACAGUUUAAAACGUAUCCGAUUAAAAUAGUAUUGCGAGGUUCGUGUGCUACGAAUAGAAUUUCGCGCAUCUCGAGGUCGUCAUUUGGAGAAUUGAUUCAAGGUUUUUUUACUUCUAAAAAAAAUUCUAUCGGGGAAGAAAAAUAAGAACAAUAGUACUUAUCGAGGGUGGUGCGAUUUUUGUUGAAACGCGGCGAUGUAAGUCCUGUGUCACGGGCCACGCUGUUACAAGAGAAGCAUUGUAAAUAAUUCCACGCGAACGAAAUGGACGCAUCGACGAGGUUUUUUUUAUCGGCGGGGCAAUGUGAAAGGCGACGUCUGACGUCGUGGCAUUGAAUCGCGAGCCGCGACCACUGUAUACGAUACCGCGUAGGUAAAGUAGGUACCUGUUUAAUAGACUAAAAGGAUUACAAAGUAAUGGUAGCAGAGAACUAAUUAAUUACUAUUUAUUGAUACGGUACUGUAACGAUAUACGAGCAACGCCAUGGCAUACGGACGAUUCGACCACCUCCGAUGGUCUGAUUGCCUGUAACCGUGACGAGGAAAAUAGAGUAAAAGGAUGACAAUAUUAUUAAGAGCUGCCACGUUGUCGUCCCCAGAUGUAUGUACUUGUGAUCGCUCCAGUGUGUAGAGCUCUUAUGCUUUGUUUUCAAUAAAAUCUCGAAAAACGAUGAACAUCGCAUUUUCUAGAUAUCUAUUCCACAUUUGUAGACUUCUCUCUAUCAUUAUCUGUAUUUAUAGAUAUCGAUACUUACGGAUACCUAUAUUCACAGAUUCAUCCGUGCAAGUAGCUCGUACCAAUGCGAUUUUAUGAAUACAGCUUAAGAUAUCGUAGUACUGGAAUUAUGUACAUCAUCUUCUUUUUCGCUACAUCGACUGCACACUCGAGCCAUCAGUGUUACGUGGACACAUUGCUCCGACCGAACCGGUGGAACAUUCAUGUACAUGUUAUAUUGUACAAGAACAUAUUACACACGUACACACACAACAACCGCGCACGGACGCACGUACACACAUACGCAGCAGUACACGCCCAACACACAAAAAAGACCGGGUACAACGCAUUCGUUUGAAGCGGGUACGCGCGAUGCGGAAGAAAAAAAGAGAAACACAUUUAGAUAGGGGUGCGCCUACAGGCCGAAAAAUAUGUAGGCAACGCCACUUUACCGAAGUAUAAGUGGAAAAGAUGAUAUAAAUAAAAUAAAUCUAUAUAUAUAUAUAUAUAUAUAAAUUAUAUAUAUUUAAAUAUAAAUAUGAAAUAUAAAUAUAAAUAUAAAUAUAAUAGUAUUACGAAUUACGAUAAACGUAUAUAAUUAUUUUGUAGUGUCCUGCAUUAUGUAAACUAAAUGUACACAUGAGAGAAAAAAAAAUGUAUGUCAGCGAACGAUGUUGAUUAUAAAUGAUAACGAUGAUGAUAACGACGAUGACGACGAUGACGACGAUGACGGCGAUAAUGAUGGCGAUGAUGGUGACGACGAUUACGAUAAUAACGAUACGAUUGCAAUGACGAACGAUAUGCACGCGAAUGAACUAUGUAUUAUGAGUAAUGACAGCGACGAUGACGAUGGGAAACGAUAAUAGUAUUAUACGCUAUCAUGUCGACAAGUCUAAACCGUAUUGUAUUAUAUUAUAUAAGAGUCUGUCCAUAUUAAUAAUAAUUAUAUUAAUUAUAAUAGCUGUGUUUGAAAUCGAGAAAUAAAUUGUGGUUGAAUAUGAAAAUCAAAGAGAGUGUGAAGCUCGGUUUUCGGGCAAACACGGAUCAUCCGGGAUGUGUAUGGUUUUCUCUCCUUCAACUUUCGUUUCUACGUCCGACCGAACUUUAUCGAUCGAAUAUACGUGGUUGAAAGCAGUCACGUGGACUGUUGCUUGGGAUCGUUCGACCCGGCUUCGCGAGAUUCAUCGUACCUUCGUGCGUGCAUCGUCCUUUCUCUCUUUUCCAUUAAUUAACCGAUUGAUAGAACUUCAUCGAUUGUUUUAUUUUAAUGUCAGCAGCGAGUAUAUAAUUACGCUACUGGUUUUAAAGUUCGAGACCGUGUUCAUGAUCAUUGUAUCUUGGAAUAUGGCAGACAAAUAGCUAUAAUUACCAUCUGUCAUUUUACAACGCCUUAAUAAUCAUCAUGAGACGUCAUUAAAUUCAUCAGCCAUAUAUCUCGUAACUUAAACGAUACACCAAAUCACGAUAAGAUAUAGAGACGAGUUCGACGAUCGUAUUAACUAAUGUCCCUCGUUGUAAUUAAAUUGAAAUUAGAACGAUCGGAUAAUCAUCGCCGGAGGGUGAUCUCGAAUUCCGAUGAUUGAUAACCAUACGUAGCUCUAAUUCGUGGCAUGUGACGUAUUUGGCAAGGUGGUGCCGGAACGAUGUUCGAAUUCGGGUCGAUCGGCUGGACGUCUUUCACGGUCGAACGAAAAUAUCGGCGGUUCGCCGCUACGCCACUGGGACCCUUCGAAAAGGUUGCCCGGUAACCCGAAGGUUGCAUUUAUACGAAUUGUGGCGGAAGGAACCAUUGUAUAAUCCAAGAUGGCCUCCACCUCGGAGAGGAUUAUUAUUGGCUAAUACGAGGCAAGAGGCUCCGCCUUGGCUCACGGCUCGUGACGGGAUGAUUUAUUGGGAUUUCUGUCUGUUCGCCCCUGCGCUGCAACGAACAUACCGUGUGCCUAGCUUCUAGGAGGCCGGUACGCCUGGAACACCGCGAUAUUGGAUUUCGACAUUUCGCCCAACUGCAGCAGUAACAGCCCGCGGAUUUCUUCUAUACGUCGUAUAGAUGUCUCUAUUCUCGCUUUGUCCACGUGGAAUUCCAUGUGUCUUUGCCUGACCUAAUUUCCCCUUCCUAUUUCAGCGCUGCUUUACUCCAUCGCUCUUUCGUUCGAUCCGCUAAUGAAAUUUUCGACGAAGAUUACCUCGCCCAGCUUCUGCAGUUCCAGCUUUGUUGAUAUUUGAUAUAGCACGGUGAAAUAAUUUGAUCCAGCUGCUAGACGCCAAACUAUGUAUAUACGUAAGUGGAAAUUCGAAGGCUCGAUGCAGUCGUUCUUGAGUUAUGAGUGCAAUCGAGAAGUGGGUGAAGAUCAAACAAGCGUGUCGACUCGAACGUCUGUCAGGUCAAUUGACGGUUUGCCUCCCUUCGUUAUUUAUGGUCAAGGACGUUCUGCCAGUAGAGUCGCUCGUAUCAACUCGCCGCUAGGUCAUUAGACUAUCCAGAUCUGCUUGACGAACUGACAUCCACUGAACGUAAGAAAUCUGUUUCAAAGAACAGUACCUAACGGUAAGUAUUCAUUCGUCUAAUUAACUCUGCGUAACAAACAAACGAGAAAUAAAAUAAAGAACUAAACAGAAUCUUAAAACAUGCACUCGGUACGUUUAAAAUAUCAACAAUGAAUUGUCAAAGUAAAUUGAACUGAAUAAUUCCCACUUUCGACCAUUCACAACGCUGUCUCGCCAACUCCUGAACAUUAUCAAGCACGUGAAACAGAAUCGUCAUCGAGUGCAUCCAGGUUGCAACGUAGAAGGGUGGGGGGCGAAGAAGAAGGAAGAUGGAAAGGACGGAAAAGAAAGAGACAGACGGAUACGACGGACGAAGAGGGGGAGAAGUGUGAGGCGGUCGAGUGAAGAGCCGGCAAGAUAGAGGGGCUCGGCGGGAGGAUGGCGGUCAGAAUUUAUGGCCGCUUUAUCACUUUACCGGCCUUGCCGCGUCUCCUUUAGCCGCGAGGAGGGCAGGAUCUCACGAUGAACUUUGGCACUCGACUCCGCCGCACUCGACGAACGGUGAGCCCCUCUAACUUUCUUGUUUACUCGCGUUUCGCCGAAGAGAGAUUACGCGUACACCUGUUUCCUCUUUCACCCUUUCCCAGUAUCCUACAACCGAAUCAGACACCGCUUGGGAAUGGAAAUUGCCUGCUGAUGAUUACACUGAGUUUUAAACCGAGUCAUCGAGGGUGCACGAACCUGUGACCAGUGGUUUUCAUAAAUUUGAUUUAUCUUUUAUUUAUCUUACCCUCAUUGGAGAAUAUUUCGACGUGUAAAACAUUCAGACAGACCCACGAGGAUUACAGUUACCGCUAUCGAGGAAAAAUCUGCAAGAAGCGGGUCCGACGCACAGAUCGGGGCGUUCCACGUGUCACCUCUGGCGCAGGAAGAAAACCGCGCGCGGCAGGCGUCGCGAAAUUUACGCGAGGCCGUUCAGGCGUCGUGACGCGCGUACGACUGCAUAACGCAUAAAGUAACCCCCAUUAACAGACCAUAAAUUCAAUCCCUGCGGCACCGUUGUUAUGUAUGAGCGUCGUUAGUGUUAAUAGAGUGUUAAUUGCUCCUAUACCGCUCUCGAUUCUGUUCAGGACGUAGGUGACGGAGCCGCUGAUGGUGGUAGAAGGCGAGACGGACGAGCGGUGAGAAAGAGAGACGAGGAGAGAGUAUGCCAUGGAGAGAGACCGUAGAGGAUUCUCGGUUGCGUGUUGUCCAGCUACUACUAGCGCCGUGCUUCUGCUGUUUUGCAUAGGGAAUGCAUCAAUUUUCGGCGCUUCUCGUUCACAGAUCCCUCUCUUCCUUUUACUCUCUUUCUCUCUUUACCACCCUUCUUGCCUCUAUCUUCGUACUCUCUGCCCCUAGCCGAGCGCAGCCUAACUUCCGGCACGCACAACUUCCACCGUUACCCCCACCAGCAUAGUGUUUCCCGUAACUGUAAUUCGCAUAGAAGAUAAUUGAUAUCCCUGUUGGUCGCUUCCCUCCAUCAGCGUACGUGAUCGCCACUUUCGUGACGUUUGUAGUAACGAUGAUCGUUUGCGAUUUUCUUGUUGCCCUCCGAUGGGACUUUGUGUCGCGGAUUUACGAUUGCUUAUAUCGAUUCCGGUAAUUCCGAUCUUCGUCCAGGAUAUAGCGCUCGACUGAGUAUAAAUGAAGUUUUCGGUACACGUGUCGAUAUAGCGGAUAAGUGGAAUGUAAAGUUGUUCGUUAGAUUUCAUUAUUCUUUGGGCUCACAUAGUAGAUAUCUUUAGUUAAGACGUUUUUCCUUAUCUUCCCUCAUUGAUCUAAUUAUAUAACUGCGAUUAUAGAAGCCUUUUUAUAGUUCCUUCUUUAAUAUUGUAAUUUAGAAUUGACAGUUCAGCUAAUGGCUCUUAAAGAAGAAGAAUUUCUAUAUUUACAAAUUAGUGCAAAUUUAGUAGUCUAAUUAUUUGGAUAGAAAAUACAUUCCUCCUGAAUGAGCCCA